rnacentral:piRNA from 1 species
UAUGACUAAAGGAGAAGGAAGAUGUGAAGU